rnacentral:rRNA from 1 species
GCCAGACUCCUACGGGAGGCAGCAGUGAGGAAUAUUGGUCAAUGGACGAGAGUCUGAACCAGCCAAGUAGCGUGAAGGAUGACUGCCCUAUGGGUUGUAAACUUCUUUUAUAAAGGAAUAAAACGAGGCACGUGUGCCUUUUUGCAUGUACUUUAUGAAUAAGCAUCGGCUAACUCCGUGCCAGCAGCCGCGGUAAUACGGAGGAUGCGAGCGUUAUCCGGAUUUAUUGGGUUUAAAGGGUGCGCAGGCGGCCUGUUAAGUCAGGGGUAAAGCCCCGGGGCUCACCCCGGGCGAGCCGUUGAAACUGGCGGGCUGGAGUUGGAGAGAAGUACGCGGAAUGCGCGGUGUAGCGGUGAAAUGCUUAGAUAUCGCGCAGAACCCCGAUUGCGAAGGCAGCGUACCGGCUCCACACUGACGCUGAGGCACGAAAGCGUGGGUAUCGAACAGGAUUAGAUACCCUCGUAAG